AUUGAACGCUGGCGGCAAGCUUUACACAUGCAAGUCGAACGGCAGCGCGGGGCAACCUGGCGGCGAGUGGCGAACGGGUGAGUAAUACAUCGGAACGUACCCAGAAGUGGGGGAUAACGUAGCGAAAGUUACGCUAAUACCGCAUACGUUCUACGGAAGAAAGUGGGGGACCUUCGGGCCUCAUGCUUUUGGAGCGGCCGAUGUCUGAUUCGCUAGUUGGUGAGGUAAAGGCUCACCAAGGCGACGAUCAGUAGCUGGUCUGAGAGGACGACCAGCCACACUGGGACUGAGACACGGCCCAGACUCCUACGGGAGGCAGCAGUGGGGAAUUUUGGACAAUGGGCGCAAGCCUGAUCCAGCAAUGCCGCGUGAGUGAAGAAGGCCUUCGGGUUGUAAAGCUCUUUUGUCAGGGAAGAAACGGCUGGGGUUAAUACCUUCGGCUAAUGACGGUACCUGAAGAAUAAGCACCGGCUAACUACGUGCCAGCCGCCGCCGUAAGAC
rnacentral:rRNA from 1 species